rnacentral:lncRNA from 1 species
UUGGGUUGGGUUGGGUUUGGUUUGGUUUGGUUUUUAAAGGCAGUGCCUCACUAUAUAGAUCUUGCUGGCCUUGAACUCACAGAGAUCCUCCUUUGCCUCCCAAGUACUGAGAUUAAAGGUGGGAGUCACUUCAUAUGGUGAUCAUGGGUUUGGAAUUACUAACCAAUUUGUAUGAUGCUUCUAAUAUCCAGAUAUAAAAAACUUAAAUAGUUACAGGAUGUAAGGUUGAUUUGCGUUGCACAUUUCCUUUUGUAGUUCAAUAUUUCUUUGAGGGUAAACCAUAGAGGGGGACAAGAAAAGAUAAAAAUCUCCUUUAAAAAGAAACCUUUAAAAAAAAGAUACUGAGGCUGGGAAUAUAACUCAGUUGUAGACCAGCCAGCCCUAAAGGGUCAUUCAGUCUUCGGGGUUAAAGUAAAAUCAUGAGCUGAGAGUGACAGACAGAAGAAUCAAACUCACCUCUGGUUGUGAGUUUUGGGGUUUUUUUUUUUUUAAUGUUGAACAGUGCAGAGGGAUAAAAAGGUGUGGUUAAUUGAUUAACUGUUAUCACUUUGUGUGUGUGUGUGUGUGUGUGUGUGUGUGUGUGUGUGUGUGUGUGUGUGUGUGUACACAUAUAUAACAUGUCACAUAAUUAAUAGUAUAAGAUAAUGAUACCCUUAUCAGCACCUCAGAAUUAUGCUUAUGAAAUUAGAAUUUCAAAUUUUAAACAUUUCACUGAAAUAGUUUGUAAUUAGACCAUUAUUUUUAAUUAGCUUUGAAAAAUAGAAGCAAGUCUCUUGUAUUUUGAUAUAUAUUGCCUAGCUUGAUGUGGAAUUUUAGCAGUAAAUUGUUUACUGUUCUAAAUGUGUUGGAGUAUUCUUUUAAAUUUUCAGUUUUUUAGCUCAUUUCCUAUGAUUCUAUCUGUUCUUAUUGUACCUUUGAGUAUUUCCUUAUUUUUUAUUCUUAUUUCUUUAUGUUCUGAUUCCUGCAGAGCCUGCACCAAAUAAACCAAAUUGAGCCUCUGAGGGAGCUAAAUGAGAGGCUGCUGGCUGAGAAUAGGGCCUUGACCAGAGUGGUAGCCAAGCGCUCAGGGUUCUGUAGGCAUCUGCAGCCUGUGAGCCUGUAAUUCAUAGUCUCUUCAUUGCUCCUUGGUAGACCAGGCGGGUGUGUCUGUUAGUAAGCGUGUUUUCGUAAAAGCUCACAACUACAAAUUAAUACAUGUGUGUAGAACUAUCACAUACAUAACUGUUUAACUCUGCAUGGCUUCUCAGAACUUUAAAAUUAUCACUAAUUGUAUAUCACAACUGAUAAACCACAGUAAAAUUAGGGACUGGGUUAGGAAUUAAGACUCCUCUGCCCACUCAGAUUUCUUUUGCUUCAAACAUAAUUUAGAUAUAUCUACUAUUUAUUGUCAUUUAUGAAAUACAAAGUAACAUCCAAAUUAACCUAAAGAUUGGGCCAACUAUGUCUGCCUUAGAAAAUAGUGUCACUUGUGCUCAGUUCAUCCUAUCUUCACUGUCCGUUACAGUCCCGAUGGCAGCCUCGAGGCUCUGGAUUACCCCUGGACACUGAGCUCAGGGAGAACUAUGUGUGGCUCUCUGUAGGGGUCACUCUUCUCGUAGGUGUGGCUGGCAUGAGUAGUGUUGCAAGUUCCAUUUUUGCUCUCCCUAAUAUACCAGUGUCACAGGACAUUCUGAAAACU